AAGUCGUAACAAGGUUUCCGUAGGUGAACCUGCGGAAGGAUCAUUACCAAAUAUAAAUUAUUCAAACCCAUGUGCACGGUGAAUGAAAUGUCUUGGUUUUUGGGGUGGGGCUUGGUUCCACUCCGACCAUUUUGUUUAACUACGUUUACAAUCAUCUUGGCAUCGUAACUUGUCUUAAUAAAUUUUUAUGACAACUUUUAACGGUGGAUCUCUUGGCUCGUGGAUCGAU
rnacentral:misc_RNA from 1 species